rnacentral:rRNA from 1 species
AGGGGGCUAGCGUUGUUCGGAAUUACUGGGCGUAAAGCGCACGUAGGCGGACUUGUCAGUCAGAGGUGAAAUCCCGAAGCUUAACUUCGGAACUGCCUUUGAUACUGCAAGUCUUGAGGAUGAGAGAGGUAAGUGGAACUGCGAGUGUAGAGGUGAAAUUCGUAGAUAUUCGCAAGAACACCAGUGGCGAAGGCGGCUUACUGGCUCAUUUCUGACGCUGAGGUGCGAAAGCGUGGGGAGCAAACAGG